UACGUAGGGUGCAAGCGUUAAUCGGAAUACUGGGCGUAAAGCGUGCGCAGGCGGUUAUGCAAGACAGAGGUGAAAUCCCCGGGCUCAACCUGGGAACUGCCUUUGUGACUGCAUGACUAGAGUACGGUAGAGGGGGGAUGGAAUUCCGCGUGUAGCAGUGAAAUGCGUAGAUAUGCGGAGGAACACCGAUGGCGAAGGCAAUCCCCUGGACCUGUACUGACGCUCAUGCACGAAAGCGUGGGGAGCAACAGGAUUAGAAAACCC
rnacentral:rRNA from 1 species